UGUGGGAGCGAGCCUGCUCGCGAUAGCGUCCUGUCAGUCAAUGUUGCAGUGACUGAUCUGUCGCUAUCGCGAGCAGGCUCGCUCCCACA
rnacentral:antisense_RNA from 1 species